rnacentral:rRNA from 1 species
CAGUCGCCACGGUAAUACGAGGGGGGCAAGCGUUGUUCGGAAUUAUUGGGCGUAAAGGGUGCGUAGGCGGCUUGACAAGUCUUGUGUGAAAUCUAUGGGCUCAACCCAUAGUCUGCACGGGAAACUGUCGGGCUUGAGAAUGGGAGAGGUGAGUGGAAUUUCCGGUGUAGCGGUGAAAUGCGUAGAUAUCGGAAGGAACACCUGUGGCGAGAGCGGCUCACUGGACCAUUUCUGACGCUGAUGCACGAAAGCUAGGGGAGCAAACAGGAUUAGAUACCCGCGUAGUCCCUGUCUCUUAUAA